GCACCGCGGCAAGCCUUAAAAACACAUCAAUAAAAGCCCGCCGUCCCCCAACUUCUCCAGGGCUCAAGGAAGGUUUCAAAGAGGGCCGGGGUGAGGAGGGGUCGGGCCUCGGGGGUCUCGGGAGACGCUCGCUGCGGGUGCAGAGCCUGCAGUUUUGUGGGGGGAGGGUAUCUUUGUUAGGAGCCUGUUUCCCAUCUUGGGGUCUCCUCUUGAUCAGCACCCCCACCCCCGGCCCGGAACGGCGGGGGAUCCCGUCCUCCGUGGAUAAAACCAACUCUGCUCCUGUCGGGCGUCUUUUUGGAAAUCAAGGCACCGGGAAGAGCCCGCACGUCGGGGCUGUUAACCUCCAGUGACUGAACCAGCCAUCUUAGGUGGACAAAAACUUAAAAGAUCAGCAAGCAAGUCCUGGGCCAGGGGAAGCCAUAAGCAGAGGGUGGAGUAUGGUGAGGAGGAGAUGUGGAAAGGCAGCACCCUGAAGUGAUGGACCCGCCCUGACUGAUGUGGAGAGCAGAAUGCACAUGUCCGUCUGCCUGUCUGUCUGUCUGUCUGAAAUGGGGGAUCCAGACCUCUCCUAAAAGCCACAGGAAAGCUUAGCGUGGCUUUUCCACCUUAUAAUUCUAUAGAACCCCAGCUCUGGGACAUGCUCCCUGGCAAAAAGGUGCAGGGGCCAAAUUCAUUUAGGAACAACCUUGUUCUCAGUUCCCGUCUCGAACUUUUCAAAAAGUAUCUUUGUGCCUUAGACCCUGAGAAGUCUCAAAGAAACAAGUAGAAGUGUUUAAAAACACAUUUGGCAGCAGAACCUUAUGUGUGCCUUAGAGCUCACUAUGAGCUACACUUAUUUCCUGAAUGGGGACUUGAUGGGACCAUUCUGCAGCCUCGUCUGGAUAGGGGACGGAGUGCACAUAAGUAUCUAGGAGCAGGAGCACCCAGAUUCCAGCCCGGUCAGUCCCCAGUCAGCGUGGGACCUGAGGCUCCUCCUCUGUGGAGAGGAAUGCCCCUUUUGAUGUUUUGUGCUUUCGUCUCCAACAUGCUUCUCUGCCCUGGAACAUUAAAGCCCCUACCCAUCACUGGUUAUUUGGCCAAUAUGAUUAUUUAUGGAAUAGUUCAGAGUAAAGCCCUGUACACCAGCUCGAGGCAGUAAUAACUGAAUAGAUGAGUAGUGAGAGGGUGUCUGCAGUAGGUGGGAAGACCUGAGGAACUGUCAAAAAGGAGGAGGAAUCUGAGGCAGGCCUGGAAAGAUGGGUCUCCUGAUCAAAGAUCCUUCAAACUGGAACAUAAGAGAGAACUUGGGUCAGUCCCGUGCAGGCAGCACAGAAACUGAGAAAGCAUCAGGUAGUUCCUCUCUCCACACUGUCUUUCCUACCUCUCUAUAUCUGCUCCCUGCAGGUUGGCUUUCUCUGCUGGCUUAGGACCACACAUGGCUGCUAGCACAAAGUCCAAAGGACCUUCUGACUUUAGCACCCACCACCUUCAGACUGCCUCAGUCUUCCACUACAUAGUUCAAAUUCUCAGGGAAAUCAUCUGAUUGGCUUAGCCUGAGUCAGGUGACCCCUCUCUCCUGCUCUCCCCUCCUAAGAGUUGAGAGCAAGGGGCAUGGUGGAACCACCUGGUACAACAGGACUGGGGAGGGGAGGGAGAUAACUUUGGAUAGAGGAUAUCUAAUAAAGAUGGGUGGAAAUGGGGCUCUAAACCUGAGCUUCUCUACCAGGGAUACCCAGGAUGCCACACCUGAGGGAUCAGAAUCUCCUAGGAUGGGUCCCAGGCAUAUGCUGUUCCAGGUAGGAGAAAUGAAUGGCACAUGUAGAUAUAUCAGAUGCGACCUGAUGGAUUAGAAGAUGCAUUCGUUCAUUGAGCAAAUACUUAGAACUGAGUGCCUACCAAGGGACUAUGUUAGGUGCCACAGAUACAAGGUUUUUGUGCUUUAUGGAACACGCAUAUUAGUGGGUACGAAUGGAAACACCAUAUCACAAUAUAUCCUUGAAUGCUUAGGUGAGCAGUUUAUAUGCACUAAUUCAGAGGACAAGAGGAACCAUUAAAUAUUUUUGGGUCCAAGAAGUUGCACUAUCAGAAACAUGCUUUUAAAAAGAAGAAUGGCUUGCAACUAGUAGAUAGAUAAGUCCUGGAGACCUAAUACACAGUACAGUGAUUAUAGACAACAAAAUUGUAUUAUAAACAUUAAACUUGCAAAGUGACUAGAUCUUAAUUGUUCCCAACACUCAAAAAAUGGUAAUUAUGUGACAUGAUAAAGGUGUUAGCUAAGGCUACAAUGGCAAUCAUAUUGCAACAUAAAUAAAUCGAUACAUUGUACUCUUUAAACUUGCACACAGUGUUGUAUGUCAAGUAUAUUUCAAUUCAGAGGAGGAGGGGGAGGGGGAGGAGGAGAUCAUGGAUCCAGGAUGAAUUUUGGGAGAAGAAAAGAGAAAAUGGAAGACCAAAAGCAGGCAGAACCACUCAAAAAGCAUUGCAGUAACCCAUACA